CUAGAUAUCUAUCAGAAUGUGUAAAAUAAAAAAUAGUGACAACACCAAAUAUUGGCAAGAAUGCAGAGAAACUGGAUCACUGGUGGAAAUGUAAAAUGUUACAGCCACUCUGCAAAACAGUUUAGCAGUUUCUUGUAAAACUAAACACGUCGGGCUGGCCCCCUGGCUGAGUGGUUGGGUUCACGCACUCCACCUCGGAGGCCCAGGGUUUCACCAGUUCAGAUCCUGGGCGUGGACAUGGCACUGCUCAUCAGGCCAUACUGAGGCAGCGUGCACAUGCCGCACUGGAAAGACCCAUAACUAAAAUACACAACUAUGUACUGGGGGGCUUUAGGGAGAAAAAGGAAAAAUAAAAUCUUAAAAAAAAACAAAACUAAACAUGCAAUUACCAUACAAUUCAGGAAUUUCACUCGAGCAUUUUAUCCUAGAGAAGUGGAAAUGUAUAUUCACACAAAAACUUGUACAUGAAUUUUCAUAGCAGUUUUAUUUGUAAUAACCAAAAACUGGAAAUAACUCAGGUGUCCUUCAAAGGGCAAAUAAGCAAACUGUGUUAUAUCCAUACCAUGGAGUACUAUGGAGCAAUAAAAAGGACUGAAGUAUUCAUAUAUGGAACAACUUUGAUAAAUCUCCAGAGAAUAAUGCUGAGUGAAAAAAGCCAAUCCCAAAUGGUUGCAUACUAUAUAAUUCUUGAAAUGACAAAAUUAUAGAAAUGAAGGACAGGUUAGUGGUUGCCAGAGGUUAAGAAAGGGGAGUGAUAUGAAAGAAAGUGAGUGUGGUUAUAAAAGGGCAACAUGAGAGAUCCUUGUGGUGAUGGAAAUGUUCCAUAUCAUAACUGGUGGUGGAUAUAUGCACCUACACGUGUGAUAAAAUUAUAUAGAACUAAAUACACACAAAUGAGUUUAAGUGAAACAAGAAGUCUAUAAUAAAAUCAAGUGGAUUGUAUCAAUGUCAGUAUCCUGGUUGUGAUAUUGUACUAUAUAAGAUGUUAUUGAGGGGAAACUGGGUAAAGGGUAC
rnacentral:lncRNA from 1 species